UUACAUUUAAAUUUUCAUCUUAUUUUGUAGUACUAGUUUUGACAGUUUUCCGCCAUGGCAUUCAUAUAACAUUAAAGUUCUCUUUCGCUAUAGUACCUAUCAGCAAUGCGCAAUUUGUGAUGAGUACCAAGGGAUCACCACAGCUCUGCAUCGACGGAUUUCCAUUCACACGACACAUCGUGAAGGAGGACACGAUCUACUGGAGAUGUAUACAAUUCCGUGCAUUGCGAUGUCCCGCAAGGCACCGUCAGCGACGUUCGACCGGAGCGUUGGAAGUUGUUUGGGCAAAGCACAAUCAUGGUAUUCUGGAGCGAAGGAAACGUGGCACACUGCGAGACAUUCUACUACAGCGCAAACGGAUGAACCAGAAAUCCGCUCCAUCUGAAGUGAAACCACAACCGACUACUAGCGCUGAAAAUGACAAGCCAAUCCCGGAAGAAACAUACGCUGCGGAAUAUCUGCUAGCAGAGCUAGAGGAUUUCGUUUUAAAAAAUGACUAAUCGUGAAUAUGUGGCAUUCUAGUACUUCGUUAAGUGUGCGAGAACACUGUUACUGUUAUUGUUCGCGAUAUAUUUAUCAUUUCCCGGCCACCGUUGUUUAUUGACAUUGUUGAUUGUGCCUAAUAAACGCACUUCACUUGUUUUGCACUAGUACUUCGUCAAGUUGCAGAGCAUUUAUCGGUAUCUCUGCCGACGCAAAGCGAGCUAAAAACCAAUAAAUUUUUAUUUACACAUAUUUUGUUUUAUUCUAGUACUCCAUCGUACUCCAGAUGGUAUUGAUGGUUGAAUUGCUGCUUAUUAAUAAUUAUUUAUCCACUGUAGGUCAUGAAGCCGUCAUCCAUUACACCAUGAGCCGAAAAGGAACGCCCCAGCUGGAGAUCGAUGGGUAUCGCUACACGAGACAGAAAAUUUGCAAAACCACAAUUCGAUGGGAGUGUCUCCAGACGAAAGGGUUGGUUUGCAAGGCACGAGCUACCACCAGUAACACCCCAAAGGGACUUGUGCAGUACUACAACAACACACACAACCAUCCACCGCACAUGGAACGACGGAAGGCUGGCGAACUACGCAAACUGAAACAACAAACGGCGGAGAGGCUGAAGCUUUUACAACCCGAUCUUUCGGAGAUCCAUUACAAUGUUUAGUUAGUAAUAUACAAAACCUGAUAAUCUAUUACAUAAAGAUAACGUUGACGACAACACAUAUCUGAUACUCUGUAUAUCAUUUGCAGCGGUGAUCGAAAGACAUUUGGCGAAAUGACAAACUUCCGAACAAAUAAAAGGGCGAAUUCCUAGAAGGAAUAGCCUUUGCUCAAAAACAGAAGGAUCACCUAGAUAUGUAUUUAGUCAUUUGUCAUUUCGCCAUCCGUCGUCGCCCUUUGCAAUGAAGACUGAAACACUAUGAAUUGAAAUAUUCUAGUACUUUAACAUGUUUUUAUCGUUCAUAUUUUAAUCAAUUUCGACGUUUUACAGAUAGCACCUACUCGAACAUUCAGUAUGUAAUGAGUUCGAGAGGAGCGCCCCAGCUGGAUAUCGAAGGGUUUCGCUUCACAAGGAAACAUAAAGGCAAACAAGCUAUCCAGUGGAUUUGCGUGCAAAACAAAGCCAUCCAGUGUAAAGCACGAGCUACUACUACGUCACGAGGGAUGAUGCGUCAGCUGAUCAACAUCCACAAUCAUCCUCCUCAAAUGCAGCGACGGAAGGCGGGCGAACUGCGUGAGCUGAAGCGCCAAAUGGAAGAACGGACGAUGUUGUGGCACGAUUCCGCAAUGUGAACAUAAAUCACUAGAAAAGUAUAUGUUGGGGCGGUUUUCUAGUGAAACUGGCAACACUGGUCAAAUACGAAGAUAGUCGAGGAGCAUGCAAUUUAGAGUACAGUUGGAAGUAGAAUGCCUCUAUGAAGAUUUUUUGUUUUUUUUUUUUUUAGAAAAGUAUAAGUCAAAAGUUGAUUAUGUUGUACAUGUAAGGACAAACGUCUUGAAAUCCCGUUUAAUCAGUGCAUCAGAACUUCAAACGCACAAAUCUCAAGAAGCAAGCUGUUCUUGCUCACUUGUAAUAAGCUUAAAAUAAGAAGAUCAGGUGCGCUGGUUUGGUUGACGAAGAGAUUUGUGCCCCCGAAAUCGUGAGUAGGUACCAAAGUCAGCCAUUGUGGCGGCCAUUUUGGGAUCCUAACAAGUCUGUCCUUAAAGAUAUAAAGAUUAUAAUUUGUUCUCGUCAUGCAUACUUAUAGAUAAAUGACUUAUUUUGCUAAAUCAACUUUUUCAUAAAUAUACCUUUAACAUUUCGUUGCAUUGAAGUGGAUUUAGCAGUCCUAAAAAUGAAUCAACUAUGCAAAGUUUAAUUCCGGAGUUAUUUGAACCGCCUCUGAAUCGAAUCAGAAUGCUAAAUAAUUGUGACGUAUAUGACUAAUCGCUAAAUAAUUUCCACGGCUCAGUUCUAGGCUAUUUCGAAAACGGACCACUUCCACCCAUCCACUACCACACGACAAAAAGGGGAUCUCUUCAGCUGGAAAUCGACGGCUAUCGAUUCACAAGAAUGAAAGUUCUGCAGACCACCAUGCACUGGUCUUGUUUGCAAACAAAGGCACUUCGCUGUAAGGCUCGAGCCGUUACCAAUAACGACCUGCAGGGUACUAUUCGAAGAUAUUAGUCGGAUCGAGGCCAACUACGUUUCCAGUAGAAAAGGAACUCCUCAGUUGAUGAUCGAUGGUCAUUGCUACAGCAGGCAAAGGGUUCGCUUACGAACAAUUCGAUGGCGUUGCGUGCAGUUUAAAGCUUUACAUUGCAUGUCACGGGCGACAACCGAUCGUCAAAAAGGCGGUCAGAUCAUUUCAGUCGAUGGAACACAUAACCAUGAAGUGAUCAAAGAGAGGAGGAAGAAUGGCGAACUUCGAGAGCUGCUGGCCAGACGACAUGCUGAACGAACCAGCACCUGCGUCAAUUUAAAAGUUGAAGAUAUAAACAGUUGAAUAAAUCAGUCUCUGUAUGCUAUACCAUUUUCGCUUUUUAUGCAGUACUAGAAUGUGGCGGUAAAAUAAUCUGUGAAGAUAAAUUGAAUGUUCCAAUCUUCUACACAGAUUGCUACACAUACGAAGAGCUGGAUGUGCACGCCAAACUGAGCAAGAGAGGCAAGGUUCAGCUGAUGAUCGACGGCUUUUCGUUUUCACGUGAAAAGAUUCGUCCGCAUACCAUUCGAUGGAUUUGCAAUCAAGCAUGGGUUUUGAACUGCAAAGUUCGAGCCACCAGUGAGAAAAUGAGUGGAAAGCUAAUAUCGGUCCGAGGAGCGCACAAUCAUGGCGUUGUCAGCAGUCGGCGAAAGUGGGGUCAAUGUAAACUCAUCAAAGAACAAUGCGAGAGGGAUUCGGAGCAGUCAGUGGAACCUCCACGUAAAGGAGGAAGACCCAAAAAGCAGCUGGAGCAGUGGCAACUGUAGGCUGUGAAAGUGUAAUUUCUAACAAUAAAUACACUAUUGAUUUAUGCAUUACUUGUUUUUAUUUAGUGUGUUUCAAUGAAGGUUUUGUUGGCAAUUUUCAUAAUUUAUAAAAUUUCUUUCAGGCAACUUUUCGUACGUAAUGAGCCGUCGAGGUACGCUGCAGUUGCAGAUCAAUGGUCACAUAUUCACUAGAUCGCAGGUCCGCGAAAAAAUAAUAAUUUGGGUUUGCAGUCAAAGGAGAGCCCAUCGUUGUAAAGCUCGGGCGACAACAAGCCGAAAAGAGGGAAGCGCUAUGGUUUCGCUGAGAGAAGACCACACUCAUGAUGUCAUUACCGGACGGAACGUUCGUCGUAAAAAGAUUGUGCCGACUCCUGCAGUUAUUCUUUCCGCCACGGAAUCAGAUUUGGAAUAUGAUGAAUACGAUUUGUUAUGAUAAAUAUAUGCAAAGAAGAAUUACUGCAAUUAUUAUACGCUUCUCAAUUGUUAUUCUUACUUUCAAAGACAGUUUUGAUAUUUGACAAAGUAUGUAUUUCAUGUGUUUCAGUUCCGAAGGACGUGGCCUACAUAAUGACCAGUCGUGGAAUACAACUAACGGUCAACGGGUACAUAUUCUCUCGUCAAAAAGUCUCCACGCACUGUGAAAUGUGGCGCUGCAUGCUUUCGUACUCUCAUAGGUGUCCAGCCCGGGCUAGCACGUACAAACCACGAAACGGUCAGGGUGCUCGAAUUUCUCUCCGAAACCAGCACAACCAUCCGAUCGGCGCGACCAGCCGCAAGCAUAAGAAACAAGCAGUAAAUAAAUCACCCAAGUUGUCAAAAGCUCUCGCCGUAAAUAAACCAAAGGCUUCCACGGAGCAGUAGCAGUAUAGUUAACAUUAAUAUUCGCAUCGCCAAUAAAGGUUUCUUAAAAGUUUAGUGUGAUUCUUUUCGUGUAGUACUAGAUUUACCUUGGUGGUUAUAUUUUGAUGUUGGUUAAUUACUUUUUAUUUCUAGAAAUCAGUGACAUAUCUUUCGUGAUGACCAGAAGGGGCCGAAUGCAGCUUUCAGUCAGUGGGUAUCUUUACACUCGAGAUAAAACACGAGGUGAUUCACAGUUUUGGGCGUGCAACCAAUCAAAAGUGCUGAACUGUACUGCACGGGCCACUACACACAAGGUGCAAAAGAACGGCUCACCGAGGAUAACUCUACGAGGACAGCACAAUCAUGAAGUGAUCACAGAACGACGAAAAUCCGGAGCGCGUGCCCGCUUGAUCGAGAAAUGCCGGAAGGAUCGUGGUCUUGUGCCUUAAUAUCGGUUAAAAAAUGUAAAUUUUUACGAAUUUGCGGUAUUGAAUGACUUUUAAAGAUGGAUUAACUUUUAUCUUAACCUAGUACUACCUUCACAAAAAUGAUAUAUUUUAAAAUAUUGCAGCUAUCAUUUUUGUUCUAAUAGGAAGCAAUCAGUGAAGUACUAGAUUGAAAGUAGUGAGCUGGAUUGUUGUAUGGUGAGAUGAUCAGUUCUCCAUUUCUGUAAUAAAAUGGUACAAACAGCAUGGGUUAUAUGAACUUUGAUAACCGUGUUGUUGUAUUAUUUAUUUCUUGCAACUUCAACAACACAGUUACCCAAACUUUUGCUCAAACAACAUUAAAUUAGGCAAGAAUUCAUAUAACCCAUGCUGUUUGCACCAUUUCAUUGCAGAAAUGGAGAACUGAUCAUCUCACCACACAAAAAUCCAGCUCACUACUUUAAAUCUAGUACUUCACUGAUUGCUUCCUAUUAAACCAGAGAACACCCAGCUAUCGGAAAAGGAAUUCUUAUACAUGCAAAUUAAGGCUCUAGGAGCAACGUUUUAAAGUGAAUACCAGUUCAAUCACAGGACAAUCAACGAACGACGCAAAACCGGUCAACGAGCCAAGCUUGUGGAGCAAUGUUUUCAUGAAAGAUGCUUGAAGCGAUAGCGGUGAUAUCCAUUCUAAUACUUAAUCGUUUCAAUGAUAUUAAUAAAAUGCUGUUACAUUUCGAAUGCUUAAUUUAUUUGCUCUAGUACUACAGUUACAAUGCGUUGCAAUUCUCAUUACUAAAAUGAUUUCUCAUUAAUUCAGAUAUCUCAUUCGUCAUGAGCAAACGAGGUAAAACUCAACUUUGCGUCGAUGGAUUUCUCUACAUGCGCGUGAAGGCUAACGACGAACUGCAGUACUGGUCGUGCAAUCAGUUCAGGGUGCUUGGCUGCACGGCUCGUGCCACAACUGGAAGGGGGAAAAGAGACGGCAAACCGAUUAUCAAGUUGCGCGGCUUUCACAACCACCGGAUAAUUAUGCAGCGUCGAAAACCUGGCGAAUGUGCUAAAUUGAAAGAGCAAUACGCCCGUGAACGAGACGGGUUACCAGAUAGGGCUAAACAUGGUGUACCAGAACAAACGAAGCCGUUAUCAAUACCAGCGGUAUCACAACCGUCGCUUUUACCGAUGGCACAGUGCUUUUUGAAGCAAGAAAAAUGAAUGUGAAUUGAUGAAGCAUCUUUUUCGUUAUUCUAUUACUUCGUCGCUUAUAUAUCGAGCUGAUAUAAUGCGAAGUACCGUGUUAUUUCGUGAGGUCUGUAGUAUGCA